UAGAUGGAUGCUCGCUGGUUAGAGCUCUUAGCUGUUAACUGAGACCCUGUAGGAUCGAGGCCUUCCCAUCUAG
rnacentral:tRNA from 1 species